AAGAGUUGUAAAACUCCCAAACCCAUGUGAACUUACCUUCGUUGCCUCGGUGGGCUACCCGGUAGCUACCCUGUAGUUACCCUGUAGCUUGCCGACGGUAUUCUAAACUCUUGUUUAAUAGUAUCAUCUCUGAGUAAACUUUUAAAUAAGUCA
rnacentral:misc_RNA from 1 species